rnacentral:rRNA from 1 species
AGAUUGAACGCUGGCGGCAGGCCUAACACAUGCAAGUCGAGCGGUAGAGAGGUGCUUGCACCUCUUGAGAGCGGCGGACGGGUGAGUAAUGCCUAGGAAUCUGCCUAGUGGUGGGGGAUAACGUUCGGAAACGGACGCUAUUACCGCAUACGUCCUACGGGAGAAAGCGGGGGACCUUCGGGCCUCGCGCCAUUAGAUGAGCCUAGGUCGGAUUAGCUAGUUGGUGAGGUAAUGGCUCACCAAGGCGACGAUCCGUAACUGGUCUGAGAGGAUGAUCAGUCACACUGGAACUGAGACACGGUCCAGACUCCGUACGGGAGGCGGCAGUGGGGGAAUAUUGGACAAU